rnacentral:lncRNA from 1 species
GUGUCUAAUGUGUCUGUAUACUUAAAAUCUACUUAAUACAAAUCUUAACAGUUUUCAGCGUGAUAAAUAUAUAAUUCAUACAAAAUUAAUAUCAAAAUGGGACAACUGUCCUCUGCGUGGUCAAUACAUCAUACAAAAUUUAUAUUUGAGAACAUGAUCUGUUACCAAACGAUCAUAAAUUUCUCCAUCGUCUAGGAAUUCUAUCAUGUCCAUUAACAAAGUAAAGUUCAAAAUUAAUUUCAUCACGUUUACAUAUAUAUACCAAUAGAGUUGACACUGGACAUAGCCCGCAGUAAAAUUAACGAACAAUUUGCA